GACGAACGCUGGCGGCGUGCUUAACACAUGCAAGUCGAACGGAAAGGCCCUGCUUUUGUGGGGUGCUCGAGUGGCGAACGGGUGAGUAACACGUGAGUAACCUGCCCUUGACUUUGGGAUAACUUCAGGAAACUGGGGCUAAUACCGGAUAGGAGCUCCUGCUGCAUGGUGGGGGUUGGAAAGUUUCGGCGGUUGGGGAUGGACUCGCGGCUUAUCAGCUUGUUGGUGGGGUAGUGGCUUACCAAGGCUUUGACGGGUAGCCGGCCUGAGAGGGUGACCGGCCACAUUGGGACUGAGAUACGGGCCAGACUCCUACGGGAGGCAGCAGUGGGGAAUAUUGCACAAUGGGCGGAAGCCUGAUGCAGCAACGCCGCGUGCGGGAUGACGGCCUUCGGGUUGUAAACCGCUUUCGCCUGCGACGAAGCGUGAGUGACGGUAAUGGGUAAAGAAGCACCGGCUAACUACGUG
rnacentral:rRNA from 1 species